rnacentral:tRNA from 1 species
UAAAAGAUAGUUUAUUUAGAAUGAUGGCUUGUGGGGCUAUAGGUGAUCUUUGAUCUCUUUUUA